rnacentral:rRNA from 1 species
UGGUGCAUGGCCUCGUCAGUUCGUACUGUGAAGCAUCCUGUUAAGUCAGGCAACGAGCGAGACCCACGCCCACAGUUGCCAGCGUACUCUCUGGAGUGACGGGUACACUGUGGGGACCGCCGCUGCUAAAGCGGAGGAAGGAAUGGGCAACGGUAGGUCAGUAUGCCCCGAAUAUCCCGGGCUACACGCGAGCUACAAUGGUUGGUACAAUGGGUAUCUACCCCGAAAGGGGACGGGAAUCUCCUAAAACCAAUCUUAGUUCGGAUUGAGGGCUGCAACUCGCCCUCAUGAAGCUGGAAUCCGUAGUAAUCGCGUUUCAACAGAACGCGGUGAAUACGUCCCUGCUCCUU